rnacentral:rRNA from 1 species
CCUACGGGGUGCAGCAGUGAGGAAUAUUGGUCAAUGGACGGAAGUCUGAACCAGCCAUGCCGCGUGCAGGAAGACGGCUCUAUGAGUUGUAUACUGCUUUUGUACAAGGGUAAACCUGAAUACGUGUAUUCAGCUGAAAGUACUGUACGAAUAAGGAUCGGCUAACUCCGUGCCAGCAGCCGCGGUAAUACGGAGGAUCCAAGCGUUAUCCGGAUUUAUUGGGUUUAAAGGGUGCGUAGGCGGAUUGAUAAGUUAGAGGUGAAAUGUCCGAGCUUAACUCGGGAACUGCCUCUAAUACUGUUGAUCGAGAGAGUAGAUGCGGUAGGCGGAAUGUAUGGUGUAGCGGUGAAAUGCUUAGAGAUCAUACAGAACACCGAUUGCGAAGGCAGCUUACCAAUCUAUAUCUGACGUUGAGGCACGAAAGCGUGGGGAGCAAACAGGAUUAGAACCCCGGUAGUC